GUACUGACCUGGGCGGCGGGCGAGGCGGGGACGCUGCGCGGCGAUGGCCCCCCCGGCGCGGAGCGCGCCACCGACGGACUCAGCCCGUGACGGGUUCCGCCAUCUUGGAAAUUUUUUUAGAUGGGGAGUCACGUGGUACCGCCUGUAACAGCGAACGGCUGAGGCGAGGGGCGAACGACAGAAAGGGCAGGGCAUGGCUCAACAUCUGUGCUUGAGUUACCGAAAGGAAAUAAGGAAAUAAAAAGUUUUCCGGCAAUGCUUCCCUCUA